rnacentral:rRNA from 1 species
UACAGAGGGGGCAAGCGUUGUUCGGAAUUACUGGGCGUAAAGGGCGCGUAGGCGGCCUGUUAAGUCGAACGUGAAAUCCCCGGGCUCAACCCGGGAACUGCGUCCGAUACUGGCAGGCUUGAAUCCGGGAGAGGGAUGUGGAAUUCCAGGUGUAGCGGUGAAAUGCGUAGAUAUCUGGAGGAACACCGGUGGCGAAGGCGGCAUCCUGGACCGGUAUUGACGCUGAGGCGCGAAAGCCAGGGGAGGCAAACGG